AGAUGAGCAUGCGUCCCAUUAUCUAUAUGGUAAGGUAACGGCUUAGCAUGGCCACGAUGGCUAUGGGUCCUGAGACGGAGAUCCCCCACACUGGUACUGAGACACAGACCAGACUCCUACUGCAGGCAGCAGUGACGAAUAUUGAUCUAUGGGCGCGAGCCUGAACCAGCCAUGCCGCGUGCACGAUGAAGCAUCUAUGGCGUGUAAACUGCUUUUGUACUAGAACAAACACUACUUCUUGAACUAGCUUGACGGUAUCGUAAGAAUAAAGACCGGCUAACUCCGUGCCAGCAGCCGCGGUAAUACGGAGGGUCCAAGCGUUAUCCGGAAUCAUUGUGUUUAAAGGGUCCGUAGGCGGUUUUGUGAGUCAGUGGUGAAAGCCCAUCGCUCAACGGUGGAACGGCCAUUGAUACUGCAAGACUUGAAUUAUUAGGAAGUAACCAGAAUAUGUAGUGUAGCGGUGAAAUGCUUAUAUAUUACAUGUGAUACCAAUUGCGAAUGCAGGUUACUACUGAUGGAUUGACGCUGAUGGACGAAAGCG
rnacentral:rRNA from 1 species